rnacentral:rRNA from 1 species
GAUGAACGCUGGCGGCGUGCCUAAUACAUGCAAGUCGAGCGAACGGACGAGAAGCUUGCUUCUCUGACGUUAGCGGCGGACGGGUGAGUAACACGUGGAUAACCUACCUAUAAGACUGGGAUAACUUCGGGAAACCGGAGCUAAUACCGGAUAAUAUUUUGAACCGCAUGGUUCAAAAGUGAAAGACGGUCUUGCUGCCACUUAUAGAUGGAUCCGCGCUGCAUUAGCUAGUUGGUAAGGUAACGGCUUACCAAGGCAACGAUGCAUAGCCGACCUGAGAGGGUGAUCGGCCACACUGGAACUGAGACACGGUCCAGACUCCUACGGGAGGCAGCAGUAGGGAAUCUUCCGCAAUGGGCGAAAGCCUGACGGAGCAACGCCGCGUGAGUGAUGAAGGUCUUCGGAUCGUAAAACUCUGUUAUUAGGGAAGAACAUAUGUGUAAGUAACUGUGCACAUCUUGACGGUACCUAAUCAGAAAGCCACGGCUAACUACGUG